AUGGCACCCCCUGGGGCCCGGGAAGCGACGGGCUCGGGGACGCGCGCGCUGCAGGUCCAGAACUGGCACGAAGCCUGGGCUCCUGCGACCCCGACCCACUCCAAUUCCCUGCCCCCAACCACAGCCGAGGCGUCCCGGCCCAGGGAGGGUGGCGGGGGCGGAAGGGCGCUAGCGGUAACCAGAGGUGCCGUAAAGAAUUCUCCCCCACUGUGCGGUUCCCAUUUCACAGACAAGACAGUGGAGGCCCUGGGAAGGCUGGGGCUUGCCCACGCUGCCGCGCCUGGGAAGCAAGCCCAGGUCAGUCCCUGCGCGCGGUGUCGCUGGGGGACCUCCGGGACAAGCCGUGACCAAGGCUGGGGCGCGCGUGGAGUUGAUGCUGGCAGUGCCUCUUCUGGCUCCCCCGAGCAUUUCUUCCCCCUUUUCCCGGGAGGGACUGAAACCCUCCCGAGGGCCAGUGCGGAAGCCCCGCCGGCCCUGCGCUCGACAUCCAGGAGCCCCGUCCGCCGGCCCGCCGCUGCAGUUCAGUCCGGGGGUAACAACAGGGAGAAGAAACCGUUAACGCCCCCAACCCCCACUCACACGCACACCCUCGCCUGUGCCCCGGGCCUGCACGGGCACAUCUCAACCCCCUCCCACGCCCCUUCACACUUCUAUUAUUUCUAUUUCUUUGAACAAGAAUCAUUUGCGUCAACCCUUUUUGAAAAUGUUCAAGUUUCACUCCAGUAAGCUUACUAGAAGGAAGGAGGAGGAGAGAGAGGAGGAGGACGAGGAAGAGGAUGAGGAGGAGGACGAGGAGGAGAACGAGGAGGAGGCGGCGGCGACGGCUUUGGCAGCGGCUUUGGCUGCGGCGGCUUUGGCGGCGGCGGCGGCUUUUGAGGAGGCUGCGGCGGCGGCGGCGGUUUUGGCGGCUUUGGCGGCUUUGGUGGCGGCUUUGGCGGUGAAAAUUUAGACAGUCGAAAAAUAGGCGGCGGCCGCGAAAAUUUACACAGUUGAAAAAUAGGCCAAAGCACACUGAACCUGCAGGACAUCCAGUAAUCUUUUCUGCCCAUUUCAAAGUCUUUCCCU
rnacentral:lncRNA from 1 species